rnacentral:rRNA from 1 species
UGGAGCAUGUGGUUUAAUUCGAUGCAACGCGAAGAACCUUACCUGGGCUUGACAUCCCAAGAAUCCCCUGGAAACAGGGGAGUGCCCUUCGGGGAGCUUGGAGACAGGUGCUGCAUGGCCGUCGUCAGCUCGUGUCGUGAGAUGUUGGGUUAAGUCCCGCAGCGAGCGCAACCCUUGCCUUUAGUUGCCAUCAUUCAGUUGGGCACUCUAGAGGGACUGCCGGUGUCAAACCGGAGGAAGGUGGGGAUGACGUCAAGUCCUCAUGGCCUUUAUGCCCAGGGCUACACACGUGCUACAAUGGGCGGUACAAAGGGUUGCCAAGCCGCGAGGUGGAGCUAAUCCCAUAAAACCGAUCGUAGUCCGGAUCGCAGUCUGCAACUCGACUGCGUGAAGUCGGAAUCGCUAGUAAUCGUGAAUCAGAAUGUCACGGUGAAUACGUUCCCGGGCCUU